CAGUCGACGCUGAAGCCUGGUGCUUGCACCGGGUGGAUGAGUGGCGAACGGGUGAGUAACACGUGAGUAACCUGCCCCUGACUUCGGGAUAAGCCCGGGAAACUGGGUCUAAUACCGGAUACGACUGCCGGACGCAUGUCUGGUGGUGGAAAGUUUUUUCGGUUGGGGAUGGGCUCGCGGCCUAUCAGUUUGUUGGUGAGGUAAUGGCUCACCAAGACGACGACGGGUAGCCGGCCUGAGAGGGCGACCGGCCACACUGGGACUGAGACACGGCCCAGACUCCUACGGGAGGCAGCAGUGGGGAAUAUUGCACAAUGGGGGAAACCCUGAUGCAGCGACGCAGCGUGCGGGAUGACGGCCUUCGGGUUGUAAACCGCUUUCAGCAGGGAAGAAGCGCAAGUGACGGUACCUGCAGAAGAAGUACCGGCUAACUACGUGCCAGCAGCCGCGGUAAUACGUAGGGUACGAGCGUUGUCCGGAAUUAUUGGGCGUAAAGAGCUCGUAGGUGGUUGGUCACGUCUGCUGUGGAAACGCAACGCUUAACGUUGCGCGUGCAGUGGGUACGGGCUGACUAGAGUGCAGUAGGGGAGUCUGGAAUUCCUGGUGUAGCGGUGAAAUGCGCAGAUAUCAGGAGGAACACCGGUGGCGAAGGCGGGACUCUGGGCUGUAACUGACACUGAGGAGCGAAAGCAUGGGGAGCGAACAGGAUUAGAUACCCUGGUAGUCCAUGCCGUAAACGUUGGGCACUAGGUGUGGGGGGCAUUCCACGUUCUCCGCGCCGUAGCUAACGCAUUAAGUGCCCCGCCUGGGGAGUACGGUCGCAAGGCUAAAACUCAAAGGAAUUGACGGGGGCCCGCACAAGCGGCGGAGCAUGCGGAUUAAUUCGAUGCAACGCGAAGAACCUUACCAAGGCUUGACAUACACCGGACCGUCCUGGAAACAGGUCCUCUUCUUUGAAGCUGGUGUACAGGUGGUGCAUGGUUGUCGUCAGCUCGUGUCGUGAGAAGGUUGGGUUAAGUCCCGCAACGAGCGCAACCCUCGUUCUAUGUUGCCAGCAUGUGGAUGGUGGGAACUCAUAGGAAACUGCCGGGGUCACUUCGAAGAAAAGGGGGGGGAUGACGUCAAAUCAUCAUGCCCUU
rnacentral:rRNA from 1 species